AACGAACGCUGGCGGCAGGCUUAACACAUGCAAGUCGAGCGCCCCGCAAGGGGAGCGGCAGACGGGUGAGUAACGCGUGGGAAACUACCCAUCUCUACGGAAUAACGCAUGGAAACGUGUGCUAAUACCGUAUACGUCCUUCGGGAGAAAGAUUUAUCGGAGAUGGAUGAGCCCGCGUUGGAUUAGCUAGUUGGUGGGGUAAAGGCCUACCAAGGCGACGAUCCAUAGCUGGUCUGAGAGGAUGAUCAGCCACACUGGGACUGAGACACGGCCCAGACUCCUACGGGAGGCAGCAGUGGGGAAUAUUGGACAAUGGGCGCAAGCCUGAUCCAGCCAUGCCGCGUGAGUGAUGAAGGCCCUAGGGUUGUAAAGCUCUUUCACCGGUGAAGAUAAUGACGGUAACCGGAGAAGAAGCCCCGGCUAACUUCGUGCCAGCAGCCGCCCGUAACAC
rnacentral:rRNA from 1 species